rnacentral:rRNA from 1 species
GAUGCGAAAGUGACGGUACCUUGCAGAAGAAGCGCCGGCUAACUACGUGCCAGCAGCCGCGGUAAUACGUAGGGCGCAAGCGUUAUCCGGAUUUAUUGGGCGUAAAGAGCUCGUAGGCGGUUUGUCGCGUCUGCCGUGAAAGUCCGAGGCUCAACCUCGGAUCUGCGGUGGGUACGGGCAGACUAGAGUGAUGUAGGGGAGACUGGAAUUCCUGGUGUAGCGGUGAAAUGCGCAGAUAUCAGGAGGAACACCGAUGGCGAAGGCAGGUCUCUGGGCAUUUACUGACGCUGAGGAGCGAAAGCAUGGGGAGCGAACAGGAUUAGAUACCCUGGUAGUCCAUGCCGUAAACGUUGGGCACUAGGUGUGGGGGACAUUCCACGUUUUCCGCGCCGUAGCUAACGCAUUAAGUGCCCCGCCUGGGGAGUACGGCCGCAAGGCUAAAACUCAAAGGAAUUGACGGGGGCCCGCACAAGCGGCGGAGCAUGCGGAUUAAUUCGAUGCAACGCGAAGAACCUUACCAAGGCUUGACAUGUGCCAGACCGCUCCAGAGAUGGGGUUUCCCUUCGGGGCUGGUUCACAGGUGGUGCAUGGUUGUCGUCAGCUCGUGUCGUGAGAUGUUGGGUUAAGUCCCGCAACGAGCGCAACCCUCGUUCCAUGUUGCCAGCACGUAGUGGUGGGGACUCAUGGGAGACUGCCGGGGUCAACUCGGAGGAAGGUGGGGAUGACGUCAAAUCAUCAUGCCCCUUAUGUCUUGGGCUUCACGCAUGCUACAAUGGCCGGUACAAUGGGUUGCGAUACUGUGAGGUGGAGCUAAUCCCUAAAAGCCGGUCUCAGUUCGGAUUGGGGUCUGCAACUCGACCCCAUGAAGUCGGAGUCGCUAGUAAUCGCAGAUCAGCAACGCUGCGGUGAAUACGUUCCCGGGCCUUGUACACACCGCCCGUCAAGUCACGAAAGUUGGUAACACCCGAAGCCGAUGGCCUAACCACCUUGUGUGGGGGGAGUCGUCGAAGGGG